rnacentral:rRNA from 1 species
GACGAACGCUGGCGGCGUGCCUAAUACAUGCAAGUAGAACGCACAGUUUAUACCGUAGCUUGCUACACCAUAGACUGUGAGUUGCGAACGGGUGAGUAACGCGUAGGUAACCUGCCUGGUAGCGGGGGAUAACUAUUGGAAACGAUAGCUAAUACCGCAUAAUAUUAAUUAUUGCAUGAUAAUUAAUUGAAAGGUGCAAUUGCACCACUACCAGAUGGACCUGCGUUGUAUUAGCUAGUAGGUGAGGUAACGGCUCACCUAGGCGACGAUACAUAGCCGACCUGAGAGGGUGAUCGGCCACACUGGGACUGAGACACGGCCCAGACUCCUACGGGAGGCAGCAGUAGGGAAUCUUCGGCAAUGGACGAAAGUCUGACCGAGCAACGCCGCGUGAGUGAAGAAGGGUUUCGGAUCGUAAAGCUCGGUUGUAAGAGAAGAACGGGUGUGAGAGUGGAAAGUUCACACUGUGACGGUAUCUUACCAGAAAGGGACGGCUAACUACGUG